UUAUACGGUGAAACUGCGAAUGGCUCAUUAAAUCAGUUAUAGUUUAUUUGAUGGUCUUGUACUCGGAUACCUGUUGGAAUCCAAGAGCUAAUACGUGCGCAACUCCCGACUUCUGGAAGGGACGUAUUUAUUAGAUACAAAAUCAACAUCUUCAAAGUUGAGCCAUGAUAACUGAUCGGAUCGCAUGGCCUUGUGCCGGCGACGUUUCAUUCAAAUUUCUGCCCUAUCAACUGUCGAUGGUAGGAUAGAGGCCUACCAUGGUGGUAACGGGUGACGGAGAAUUAGGGUUCGAUUCCGGAGAGGGAGCCUGAGAAAUGGCUACCACAUCCAAGGAUGGCAGCAGGCGCGCAAAUUACCCAAUCCUGACACAGGGAGGUAGUGACAAUAAAUAACAAUACCGGGCUUUUUCAAGUCUGGUACUUGGAAUGAGAACAAUCUAAAUCCCUUACCGAGGAUCCAUUGGAGGGCAAGUCUGGUGCCAGCAGCCGCGGUAAUUCCAGCUCCAAUAGCGUAUAUUUAAGUUGUUGCAGUUAAAAAGCUCGUAGUUGGAUUUUGGGUUAGGGUGUCCGGUCCGCCGUUUCGGUGUGCACUGGGCGCUCUUUCCUUUCUGCCGGGGACCGUUGGGUGUCUUAAUUGCCAUCCCUCGGGAGUCGGCGUUGUUACUUUGAAAAAAUUAGAGUGUUCAAAGCAAGCCAUCGCUCUGAAUACAUUAGCAUGGAAUAACAUGAUAGGACUCCGCUCUUAUUUUGUUGGUUUCCGAGACUGGAGUAAUGAUUAAGAGGGACAGUCGGGGGCAUCCGUAUUUCAUUGUCAGAGGUGAAAUUCUUGGAUUUAUGAAAGACGAACUUCUGCGAAAGCAUUUGCCAAGGAUGUUUUCAUUAAUCAAGAACGAAAGUUGGGGGCUCGAAGAUGAUCAGAUACCAUCCUAGUCUCAACCAUAAACGAUGCCGACUAGGGAUUGGCGGAUGUUCCUUAGAUGACUCCGCCAGCACCUUAUGAGAAAUCAUUAAGUUUUUGGGUUCCGGGGGGAGUAUGGUCGCAAGGCUGAAACUUAAAGGAAUUGACGGAAGGGCACCACCAGGCGUUGUUUGCUACAAGCUCUAAGCGCCAGUCAGCGAUUGAUGGACCGCCACUGCCCUUGGCCCAUCGCAAGAUCCGCUGGCUAGUUUUCUCCUUUGACAAAAGCGAGAAAGCGACACUCUCGAAGUGCUGGGAAGCUUUUCGAGCGCUCGUACCAAGCUGCUUUGCAGAAAGCAGUGGCCGCUCAUUCUUGGCGGG
rnacentral:rRNA from 1 species